rnacentral:lncRNA from 13 species
AUGUCACUCUCAUCAUGUCUGUGCCCUUCCAAUUCUCUUCAGACCAUGGCAUGCCAACAUGUGUCUGCUUGUCCCACCUUGAGAUCAUCAUGGAGAGUGGCUCUUGAUGUUGCUUGUAGAGUCAGCCAGCCAUGGAAGGGGAGUAGGUUGUCUUACUCUGGUUUUGCUCCCAUGGAGCCUGGUCACCAGGACAGACGUAAAGAUGACUCCACCAUCUUGGCUGAACAGACACUGCACACACCUGUCAUGCUUAGAAGUGCUCCAAUGUUUAGAUAUUCAACCUGGCCAGCUUCGGUCCUUACAGAAUGCAGAAGACACCAAACAAAGCAUCGGGGAGUGCUGGCUUUCCGGUUGGUGGUGACGUCGGGUCCGGGGGCCGCCACUGAUGGAUCCGGGGGUGCCUAAGCCAGCUCAUCAGGCUGUCACACCCUAGCUGGCUCGAGAGGUUUCUUUCCCCGGUUGGCUCAGAAGGCACCAAUCCCACGUCAGGCCUCAGCUGGAUCGUCAGGAUUUUAUGCCCAGCCAGCUUGUCAGGCGGCUACGCCUCCACCGGAUCAUCAGGCUCCCACGCGGGAUCGACAGGCCUUCAUGCCUCAGCCGGCUUGCCAGGCUCUCACGCCUCUGCCUGUUCGUCUGGGUUUCACGUCCAGCUGGCUUGUUCAGCGCCCGUGCCUCAUCCGGCCCGUUAGGCUCGCCCAGGUGGGACGCUGGGUGGCACCCCUAGAGGGGGUUACUGUCACGCGCAUCAGCCUAUUAUUGGACUCACUUAGACUCAAUCACCUGUUUAUUGCCUCCCCUAUAUUUGUCAGUUCCCCAUCUCUGUUCUCCGCUGCUGCAUUGAUUGUUGAUUGUCAUUGUGUACCUGUGUGCUGACGCUGUUCCUGUCUUGAGCUUUGUCAGUUUCUCAUUUAAAUGUUCUACUCCCCGUUCCUGCUUCUCGACUCCAGCGUCGGUCCUUUCACUGUAUACCAACCCUACCUUGUCACAAAUGCAUUAAGAAAGAAAGAAAUUCCACAAAUGUACUUUUAACAAGGCACACCUGUUAAUUGAAAUGCAUUUCAGGUGACUACCUCAUGAAGCUGGUUGAGAGAAUGCCAAGAGUGUGCAAAGCUGUCAUCAAGGCAAGGGUGGCUAAUUUGAAGAAUCUACAAUAUAAAAUAUAUUUUGAUUUGUUCAACACUUUUGUGGUUACUACAUGAUUCCAUAUGUGUUAUUUCAUAGUUUUGAUGUCUUCACUAUUAUUCUACAAUGUAGAAAAUAGUAAAAAUAAAGAAAAACUCUUGAAUGAGUAGGUGUCCAAACUUUUGACUUGUACUGUAUAUUUACUAUCAACUUUAUAAAUGACAUCCUAUAAGAUUUUAGCUGUCUUUUUACUGUAAUAAUUCAUCAAUUAACUAGUGGGUUGGGAAAAGUAUCCUGAGCACUGCCUUGAUUCAUUCUUUCCUCCCCUCCUGUACAGUGGGUUAGUGACUCUAUGAAUUCCAGAUCUCAGCUUUUGUCUCCUAUAAAUGUUUUCCUGCUGUAAUGAUUACAAAUGAUGACUGUCUACAAAUUGUUCAUUUUUUAAAAUAUAAUUUGUUAUAAAAACAUUGGUGUUUGUCAUAGAAUAACUCAUUGCUAUCUAUGUUGGAGGUUUUUAGCUUUCCAACGCUGUGCUGCAUAUGAGGGUGAGACCUAUCCUUACACCAAAAAUGUACGGACAGUCCGACCAGCGAAUGAAAGUUUAGGUGGGACUUCCCAGCCUCCAAUGGAUGUGGAUAUGUAACCCGAUACCCAAGAGUCUUCAAUUCAAGCUGGGAACUGUAGCUAUGAGCCAAUACAGUUGGGAAGUGAAUAGACAUUACAUCGACUUAUCUAUAAGCAAAUGACCUUGAUAAAUAAGUUAU